GUCCCUGUAGCGCAAUAGAUCGUGCGUUGGAUUUUUAAUCCAAAGGUCGUGGUUUCGAAUCCCACCUGAGAUA